GACGAACGCUGGCGGCGUGCUUAACACAUGCAAGUCGAACGCUGAAGACCUGGCUUUUGUUGGGUUGGAUGAGUGGCGAACGGGUGAGUAACACGUGAGUAACCUGCCCUCUUCUUUGGGAUAACGCCCGGAAACGGGUGCUAAUACUGGAUAUUCACUGAUCUUCGCAUGGGGGUUGGUGGAAAGGUUUGUUCUGGUGGGGGAUGGGCUCGCGGCCUAUCAGCUUGUUGGUGGGGUGAUGGCCUACCAAGGCUUUGACGGGUAGCCGGCCUGAGAGGGUGACCGGUCACAUUGGGACUGAGAUACGGCCCAGACUCCUACGGGAGGCAGCAGUGGGGAAGAUUGCACAAUGGGCGAAAGCCUGAUGCAGCGACGCCGCGUGAGGGAUGGAGGCCUUCGGGGUGUAAACCUCUUUCGCUCAUGGUCAAGCCGCAACUGUGGGUUGUGGUGAGGGUAGUGGGUAAAGAAGCGCCGGCUAACUACGUG
rnacentral:rRNA from 1 species